rnacentral:rRNA from 1 species
GUAACGAGCGCAACCCUUGUCCUAGUUACCAGCACGUUAUGGUGGGCACUCUAAGGAGACUGCCGGUGACAAACCGGAGGAAGGUGGGGAUGACGUCAAGUCAUCAUGGCCCUUACGGCCUGGGCUACACACGUGCUACAAUGGUCGGUACAAAGGGUUGCCAAGCCGCGAGGUGGAGCUAAUCCCAUAAACCGAUCGUAGUCCGGAUCGCAGUCUGCAACUCGACUGCGUGAAGUCGGAAUCGCUAGUAAUCGUGAAUCAGAAUGUCACGGUGAAUACGUUCCCGGGCCUU